rnacentral:lncRNA from 1 species
GUUCUCUGAGUGCAGGCUUCUCCCCUUUUCCUCAGGUUUUCCUACAUGGAAAUGCUGCAAGUUGAGAUGAGGGUGGCCUGAUCCUGAUGCAGACCUGCCUGGUUAAAGCCACAGGAGGAGCAGUCCUGCCUCCAGCUCCUCGUUGCAUUCUCCCAGGACAAAGACAUGAAGAGGGGUUUGUAAGAGCGAGGGUGGUAAACUUGAGCAAUCUUUGUCACAUGGAGGGCCAAGCUCUGAGCUCGGUGACCAAAACUGCCACUGCUUUGGCCAUCAGCAUGGUGGCAAUGCCAGCAAAUUGUUUGCAAAAGGAUGAGCCACUCUGCCCCUUUCUGACUCCAGAUUAUUUAGCAGUUGACUUCGGUGUUCGGAGUGUUGCAUAUCAAUCCCCGGGACCAAAAUAUGCCACUCAUGUUUUUUCCUGCUAUGUAAUCUAUGGAUGCAGCACCUAACCCUGCAGCCCUCCUCUGUGCUUCAGAGAGAUGUGCUGAAUCAAGAUGUUGAGGCUGCACUUGGAGCUGAAGAAAACAUGAGGAAACCAAGACACCACCUUUGUUCCCAU